CCUACGGGUGGCAGCAGUGGGGAAUAUUGGACAAUGGGCGAAAGCCUGAUCCAGCCAUGCCGCGUGUGUGAAGAAGGCCUUCGGGUUGUAAAGCACUUUCAGUGGGGAAGAAAGCCUUGGGGCUAAUACCCUCGAGGAAGGACAUCACCCACAGAAGAAGCACCGGCUAACUCCGUGCCAGCAGCCGCGGUAAUACGGAGGGUGCGAGCGUUAAUCGGAAUUACUGGGCGUAAAGCGCGCGUAGGCGGUCUGAUAAGCCGGUUGUGAAAGCCCCGGGCUCAACCUGGGAACGGCAUCCGGAACUGGCAGGCUAGAGUGCAGGAGAGGAAGGUAGAAUUCCCGGUGUAGCGGUGAAAUGCGUAGAGAUCGGGAGGAAUACCAGUGGCGAAGGCGGCCUUCUGGACUGACACUGACGCUGAGGUGCGAAAGCAUGGGUAGCAAACAGGAUUAGAUACCCUAGUAGUC
rnacentral:rRNA from 1 species